rnacentral:rRNA from 1 species
UAGGGAAUUUUCGGCAAUGGGCGAAAGCCUGACCGAGCAAUGCCGCGUGAACGAAGAAGGUCUUCGGAUCGUAAAGUUCUGUUGUUAAGGAAGAACCCUUCUAAGAGGAAAUGCUUAGAAGCUGACGGUACUUAACGAGAAAGCUCCGGCUAACUACGUGCCAGCAGCCGCGGUAAUACGUAGGGAGCGAGCGUUAUCCGGAAUUAUUGGGCGUAAAGCGUGCGUAGGCGGCCUAUUAAGUCAAAUGUGAAAGCCCACAGCUCAACUGUGGAGGGUCAUUUGAAACUGGUAAGCUAGAGUACGGCAGAGGUUAGUGGAAUUCAAUGUGUAGCGGUAAAAUGCGUUGAUAUAUUGAGGAACACCAGUGGCGAAGGCGGCUAACUGGACCGGAACUGACGCU